GAUGAACGCUGGCGGCGUGCCUAAUACAUGCCAGUCGAGCGAACGGACGAGAAGCUUCCUUCUCUGAUGUUAGCGGCGGACGGGUGAGUAACACGUGGAUAACCUACCUAUAAGACUGGGAUAACUUCGGGAAACCGGAGCUAAUACCGGAUAAUAUUUUGAACCGCAUGGUUCAAAAGUGAAAGACGGUCUUGCUGUCACUUAUAGAUGGAUCCGCGCUGCAUUAGCUAGUUGGUAAGGUAACGGCUUACCAAGGCAACGAUGCAUAGCCGACCUGAGAGGGUGAUCGGCCACACUGGAACUGAGACACGGUCCAGACUCCUACGGGAGGCAGCAGUAGGGAAUCUUCCGCAAUGGGCGAAAGCCUGACGGAGCAACGCCGCGUGAGUGAUGAAGGUCUUCGGAUCGUAAAACUCUGUUAUUAGGGAAGAACAUAUGUGUAAGUAACUGUGCACAUCUUGACGGUACCUAAUCAGAAAGCCACGGCUAACUACGUG
rnacentral:rRNA from 1 species